rnacentral:tRNA from 1 species
GGGACUGUAGCUCAGUGGCAGAGUGCUUGCCUAGCAUGUAUGAGGCACUGGGUUCAAUACUCAGCACCA